rnacentral:rRNA from 1 species
GACGAACUUUGGCGGCGUGCUUAACACAUGCAAGUCGAACGGAAAGGCCCUGCUUUUGUGGGGUGCUCGAGUGGCGAACGGGUGAGUAACACGUGAGUAACCUGCCCUUGACUUUGGGAUAACUUCAGGAAACUGGGGCUAAUACCGGAUAGGAGCUCCUGCUGCAUGGUGGGGGUUGGAAAGUUUCGGCGGUUGGGGAUGGACUCGCGGCUUAUCAGCUUGUUGGUGGGGUAGUGGCUUACCAAGGCUUUGACGGGUAGCCGGCCUGAGAGGGUGACCGGCCACACUGGGACUGAGAUACGGCCCAGACUCCUACGGGAGGCAGCAGUGGGGAAUAUUGCACAAUGGGCGGAAGCCUGAUGCAGCAACGCCGCGUGCGGGAUGACGGCCUUCGGGUUGUAAACCGCUUUCGCCUGUGACGAAGCGUGAGUGACGGUAAUGGGUAAAGAAGCACCGGCUAACUACGUGCCAGCAGCCGCGGUGAUACGUAGGGUGCGAGCGUUGUCCGGAUUUAUUGGGCGUAAAGGGCUCGUAGGUGGUUGAUCGCGUCGGAAGUGUAAUCUUGGGGCUUAACCCUGAGCGUGCUUUCGAUACGGGUUGACUUGAGGAAGGUAGGGGAGAAUGGAAUUCCUGGUGGAGCGGUGGAAUGCGCAGAUAUCAGGAGGAACACCAGUGGCGAAGGCGGUUCUCUGGGCCUUUCCUGACGCUGAGGAGCGAAAGCGUGGGGAGCGAACAGGCUUAGAUACCCUGGUAGUCCACGCUGUAAACGGUGGGUACUAGGUGUGGGGUCCAUUCCACGGGUUCCGUGCCGUAGCUAACGCUUUAAGUACCCCGCCUGGGGAGUACGGCCGCAAGGCUAAAACUCAAAGGAAUUGACGGGGCCCCGCACAAGCGGCGGAGCAUGCGGAUUAAUUCGAUGCAACGCGUAGAACCUUACCUGGGUUUGACAUGGAUCGGGAGUGCUCAGAGAUGGGUGUGCCUCUUUUGGGGUCGGUUCACAGGUGGUGCAUGGCUGUCGUCAGCUCGUGUCGUGAGAUGUUGGGUUAAGUCCCGCAACGGGCGCAACCCUUGUUCACUGUUGCCAGCACGUUAUGGUGGGGACUCAGUGGAGACCGCCGGGGUCAACUCGGAGGAAGGUGGGGAUGACGUCAAGUCAUCAUGCCCCUUAUGUCCAGGGCUUCACGCAUGCUACAAUGGCUGGUACAGAGAGUGGCGAGCCUGUGAGGGUGAGCGAAUCUCGGAAAGCCGGUCUCAGUUCGGAUUGGGGUCUGCAACUCGACCUCAUGAAGUCGGAGUCGCUAGUAAUCGCAGAUCAGCAACGCUGCGGUGAAUACGUUCCCGGGGCU